GCGAAUGCUGACAUAAGUAACGAUAAAGCGGGUGAAAAGCCCGCUCGCCGGAAGACCAAGGGUUCCUGUCCAACGUUAAUCGGGGCAGGGUGAGUCGACCCCUAAGGCGAGGCCGAAAGGCGUAGUCGAUGGGAAACAGGUUAAUAUUCCUGUACUUGGUGUUACUGCGAAGGGGGGACGGAGAAGGCUAUGUUGGCCGGGCGACGGUUGUCCCGGUUUAAGCGUGUAGGCUGGUUUUCCAGGCAAAUCCGGAAAAUCAAGGCUGAGGCGUGAUGACGAGGCACUACGGUGCUGAAGCAACAAAUGCCCUGCUUCCAGGAAAAGCCUCUAAGCAUCAGGUAACAUCAAAUCGUACCCCAAACCGACACAGGUGGUCAGGUAGAGAAUACCAAGGCGCUUGAGAGAACUCGGGUGAAGGAACUAGGCAAAAUGGUGCCGUAACUUCGGGAGAAGGCACGCUGAUAUGUAGGUGAAGUCCCUCGCGGAUGG
rnacentral:rRNA from 1 species